UCGUGACGGUUUUACAAGCUCAACAGGACUGAAUAUAAUUCAUUUUUUUUAUUAUUUAUCUUAGAUUUUAACUUGUUCUAACGAUAAUUUGUAUAACUUGUUACAGAUACCAGAAUUCAGAUUGUUAAUACGGUACUGAAAUGUGGGAUAGAAAAAUUUAUGGUAAUGGUGAAAUUUCACAUUUAUCCUGGAUCGUCGGAUCGUCAUAAUAUUGUUUGUAAUUGUUUUAUAUCAAGUACUUUAAUAAAGAUUUUAUAUUAUA
rnacentral:lncRNA from 1 species